UACGAAGGGGGCUAGCGUUGUUCGGAAUUACUGGGCGUAAAGGGUGCGUAGGCGGUCGGGUAAGUCUGAUGUGAAAUCUCACAGCUUAACUGUGAAACUGCAUUGGAUACUAUCCGGCUAGAGGAAUGGAGGGGAGACUGGAAUACUUGGUGUAGCAGUGAAAUGCGUAGAUAUCAAGUGGAACACCAGUGGCGAAGGCGAGUCUCUGGACAUUUCCUGACGCUGAGGCACGAAAGCCAGGGGAGCAAACGGG
rnacentral:rRNA from 1 species